GGUUCGAUGGCGUAGUUGGUUAUCGCAUCUGUCUAACAUCUGCGAGACGCACAUUAUCAAUUGUUUCACAGAAGGUCCCCAGUUCGAGCCUGGGUCGAAUCA